AGGAGACUGACACUAGCAGUUGAAGCCCGAAGCAGAGCAGGAAGAGUUUUCAUGGCCAUGGCUACUACCUCUCCUUUUCUUCAUCCUCUCUGCAAUCUCCAUUUCCCAAGAUGCCGCUCCCUUCCUUUGAAUUCCCCGUUUCCUCCUCGGCUUCAUUUUCUCCCUCCUCGCUUCCCUUCCUCCUCAUCUAUCCAUGCAUGUGUGGAGUCGGAUAUAAGUAGGCGGCAGGAUCAAGCUAACGAAGCUGACUUCUUUGCAUGCCCAGUAUGUUAGGAGCCUCUGAUAAGAAAUGGUCCUUCAUGUCUUAACGUAUCAGCAAUCUCCAGGUCUGGUUUUAAGUGUAAAAUGUGCACUAAAUCAUACUCUAGCAAAGCCAUGUAUCUGGAUUUGACUGUCACUUCUGGGUUGACGGUUACACUGAAGUUCAACCAAGAAAUAUUGAAAUUUUCAGGAAUCCACUUGUUUCAUUCUUUUAUGAAAGAGGCUGGCGUCAGAUUUUCAAUCAAACUGGUUUUCCUGGUCCUCAU